ACAGCAGUCGCCGCGGGAAUGCGUAGGUGGCAAGCGUUGUCCGGAAUUAUUGGGCGUAAAGGGCUCGCAGGCGGUUUCUUAAGUCUGAUGUGAAAGCCCCCGGCUCAACCGGGGAGGGUCAUUGGAAACUGGGAAACUUGAGUGCAGAAGAGGAGAGUGGAAUUCCACGUGUAGCGGUGAAAUGCGUAGAGAUGUGGAGGAACACCAGUGGCGAAGGCGACUCUCUGGUCUGUAACUGACGCUGAGGAGCGAAAGCGUGGGGAGCGAACAGGAUUAGAUACCCGAGUAGUCCCUGUCUCUUAUAC
rnacentral:rRNA from 1 species